rnacentral:misc_RNA from 1 species
GAUGGAUGAUUAUAUGGUGGCAAGAAUGCUAUUUUCCGGAAUUCCCUUGGAAGAAUCAUAUAUUCAGUACCAUCAGCUUAUAUUAAUGAGGGAGGAGAAGAAGAGUCUUAAAGGGGGACGCAUUCCCAUCCCUGAAUCAUAUUAUUUGAUGGGGACUACUGAUCCCACUGGAACCCUAGAGGGUGAUGAAGUUUGCGUAAUCUUGGAAAAUGGACAGGUUUCAGGGAAAGUAAUGGUGUAUCGCAAUCCUGGUUUACAUUUUGGAGAUAUACAUAUUCUGAAGGCGACAUAUGUGGAGGGUUUAAAUGAUUUUGUAGGAAAUGCAAAGUAUGCUAUAUUCUUCCCUUGUAAAGGAC